CGGGAUGUGACAGUUGAGGCUGGGAGCAGAAAUAAUCAACAUGCCCAUUAGAUACAGGACGGAAUAAUGCUUCUAUUGGUUGGGUCCCUUCGAGGACAGAAGAGCUCCUUGGCACUGGAUGCCUCCGGGUCUGGUUGAGAGAGGAAUGGUUAGGAGACUGUUCUGAGGAUACGCAGACAUCAUCCAAAGCUUCCUACAUUCAGAUGAGGACAGAGGUUGGGCCAGAGCUUUGUAAGCUUGUUACCUAAGGAUGGUUCUGACCAUGUAAGCAGAUCACAGAAGCUGGAGGCAAAGGAUGCCAAGAUGGGAAAGCCACAUAAUGGAAGGAUCCUGGAUUUCAGAGCUGUCACUUGGAGGAGGGGCACCCAGUGAAGGUGUCUUAUCUAACCCACACCAUAUCUUCAUGAAGUGGCCAUAUGGAUUUGAUCCCUAUCCUUCAGAGGUGCUCAGCCUAAGGGAACACGGAUAGUAGAUUAAGCACUGACCAGAGCCAGCCUUGACAAUGUGCUGAUGGCAACCU
rnacentral:lncRNA from 10 species